AACAAAUUUGAGCAGGCAGAAGAAAGCAGCAGUGAACUUGAAGAUAGGACAACUAAAAUUAUUGAGUCUCUUCAUAAAAAGAACAAAGAAAAGAGAGUAGAGCCUAAGGAACCUGUGGGACACCAUUAAGCAGAUCAACAUACACAUUACAGGAGUCCCAGAAGAAGAUAGAAAAGAUCAGAAAGAAUAUUGUAAGAAAUAAUGUCCAAAAACUUCCCAAAUUUGAUAAAAGAUAUGAAUCUACAAAUACAAGAAGCUUAGUAAAUUCCAAGUAGGAUAAUCUCAAGAGUCUCACACCCAGGCACAUUAUAAUCAAACUGUCAAAAGACAUAAUCUUUAAAAAGCAGUCUUUCCAACCAGCGCCAAGCGAUGGGCAUCUCUCGGGACAACUGGCACAAGCGCCGCAAGACCAGGGGCAAGAGAAAGCCCUACCACAAGAAGCGGAAGUAUGAACUUGGGCGCCCCGCUGCCAACACAAAGAUUGGUCCCAGCCGCAUACACACAGUCCGUGUGCGGGAAGGUAACAAGAAAUACCGUGCCCUAAGGCUGGACGUGGGGAACUUCUCCUGGGGCUCAGAGUGUUGUACUCAGAAAACGAGAAUCAUUGAUGUUGUCUACAAUGCGUCCAAUAACGAGCUGGUCCGCACCAAGACCUUGGUGAAGAACUGCAUCGUGCUUAUUGACAGCACACCAUACCGACAGUGGUACGAGUCCCACUAUGCACUGCCCCUGGGCCACAAGAAGGGGGCCAAGCUGACUCCUGAGGAAGAAGAAAUUUUAAACAAAAAACAAUCCAAAAAAAUUCAGAAGAAAUAUGAUGAAAGGAAAAAGAAUGCUAAAAUCAGCAGUCUUCUGGAGGAGCAGUUUCAGCAGGGCAAGCUUCUCGCAUGCAUUGCGUCCAGACCGGGCCAGUGUGACCGUGCCAGUGUGGCCGAGCAGAGGGCAAGGAGCUGGAGUUCUACCUGAGGAAAAUCAAGGCCCAGAAAGGCAAAUA